GGACAGUUUCCUGGUUAUUAAUCGGCAUAACCAAAAGUGUAACCAUCUAUCAUAUUCAGUACUGUAGGAUUUAAUUGGAUUGGCUUCAAUAAUUGAUACACCCCUUUUCACAACUUAUAAUAACAAGGAACUCAUCCAAUUAUUUAGCUAGUGUGCCAAACCACAUAAACAAGUACUCUUGCAGAUUUGUCCUCUAAACUGUUUUUCCAGAAAGAAGCAUAUGGCAAAUAUAUCAGCUUACUUCCUUCUCAUUGCUGCUGUUUUUCUAGUUGGAACGAUGAUACCAUUGGCGAUGGCACAAACAUGCUACCAAAUACACCCAGAAAUAUUGUGCGAUGAAGGCAAAGUUGAACCGGAAUGUUUACCUUUCUGCAAUAAUAAAUUUGGACCCUCCGCCGGUGGACAAUGCAUUGAACAAAUUGGCUUUAAUGGUCCUUUUUGUGCUUGUGAUUAUCCUUGCUAGUCAUGACUUUCUUCACUCUAAUUUCUUCUACCAAUAAAGUACUACAUGAAGGCAGUUACAUGUAGUUUUCGUUUAGAUGAUCUGAUGAUAAUGUAAAGUUCUUUUAUGCAGUCGGAAUAUAAAAGUAAACUCUGAAUUGACGAUUUUUAUUU